rnacentral:rRNA from 1 species
AUUGAACGCUGGCGGCAGGCCUAACACAUGCAAGUCGAGCGGAUGAAGGGAGCUUGCUCCUGGAUUCAGCGGCGGACGGGUGAGUAAUGCCUAGGAAUCUGCCUAGUAGUGGGGGAUAACGUCCGGAAACGGGCGCUAAUACCGCAUACGUCCUGAGGGAGAAAGUGGGGGAUCUUCGGACCUCACGCUAUCAGAUGAGCCUAGGUCGGAUUAGCUAGUUGGUGGGGUAAAGGCCUACCAAGGCGACGAUCCGUAACUGGUCUGAGAGGAUGAUCAGUCACACUAGAACUGAGACACGGUCCAGACUCCUACGGGAGGCAGCAGUGGGGAAUAUUGGACAAUGGGCGAAAGCCUGAUCCAGCCAUGCCGCGUGUGUGAAGAAGGUCUUCGGAUUGUAAAGCACUUUAAGUUGGGAGGAAGGGCAGUAAGUUAAUACCUUGCUGUUUUGACGUUACCAACAGAAUAAGCACCGGCUAACUUCGUG